GUUUGUGCGUAGUGAGGUUUGCCUUUUUUCGUCUUUUGAUGUUGAUGUUCGGUUUCGCUUGGAGAUGGCCAAAAAUAUCUAGCAAUUGGCAUUUACAGAAGCCUUUCAAUGCACGUAGCUAUCGAUAAUGGGAAACGAUAGAGUCUUGCAUGUACAUGUAUGAAACAAAGUCCGACGCUGACGCUGCAUUCAUCAGUCGAUGACGUUUUGUGACAGUACGAUUUGAUUUUCGAGCCCGCACUCACUUUGCCCAGAGGAAUUAUGGAACUAGGUAACACAAGUUCCCGAUGAAGGAAACACAGGCGAACUUAAUCGCUCUCACUCGUCCUGUUGAACCACACAAGACAUGCGAAGAACAUGCAGUGAAGCCAACCUUAAUAAAUAAUAGGAAAUAAUAGAAAAUUUAGCGAUGGACAUUCCACUAGCUGGCUCUUUUUGUCCACUGUUUCCAGAUCGAACUGGAAUGUGGAACCUUAGCCAA